CAAACACCCUGGCAGAUGCCUUGUUAGUCUUGUGUCAUGGGGAUCCCAAGAGUUGUCAACAUUAGGGCCCCCUCGAGGCAGGCGGAUAUGUGUAUUGCAGGCAGACGGUGAGGGAGCACUGAUCUCCGCCUUCAUGCUCUGCUCCCUUGCGCUCCCGCAGUUAUGCCGGGAGCUGGAUUAUGAUGUCACUCUGGACCUGGCUUCCCUAAGCAGCAUGUGAGGAAGCAUAGGAAGAAGCUU